rnacentral:rRNA from 1 species
AACGAACGCUGGCGGCAGGCUUAACACAUGCAAGUCGAACGCCCCGCAAGGGGAGUGGCAGACGGGUGAGUAACGCGUGGGAAUCUACCCAUCCCUACGGAAUAACGCAUGGAAACGUGUGCUAAUACCGUAUACGCCCUACGGGGGAAAGAUUUAUCGGGGAUGGAUGAGCCCGCGUUGGAUUAGCUAGUUGGUGGGGUAAAGGCCUACCAAGGCGACGAUCCAUAGCUGGUCUGAGAGGAUGAUCAGCCACAUUGGGACUGAGACACGGCCCAAACUCCUACGGGAGGCAGCAGUGGGGAAUAUUGGACAAUGGGCGCAAGCCUGAUCCAGCCAUGCCGCGUGAGUGAUGAAGGCCUUAGGGUUGUAAAGCUCUUUCUCCGGAGAAGAUAAUGACGGUAUCCGGAGAAGAAGCCCCGGCUAACUUCGUG